UUAAUUGUUCUUGAGCUUUCAGUAUUGACAUUUGUUUUAUGUGGUUGUUUUGCAUCUCAUAAUGGGAGGAAUGAAUGUUUUAUGUGGUCGUACAAGGAGAAUCAAGCGGUGAAUCCUGCUGUCAAGGAGGAGGUCAAAGAUUUGUCACACAUGUUUGAAAUGCUAGCUCGAAUAAGUGAAAAAGGAGACGUCGAGAUUUUAUUACAUGUGACAUUCCUCAAGGGAAAAAAGACCGAGGAAGGGAAUUCAACAGGAAGGGGCCUGGCUUGAUUAAUAGUGAGGAGGCGAAUUCUAAUAGUAUUGUAAUUUGUAUUUGAUAUUGGAAAGUGGGUGUAAACGUUGUUCCUUCUAUUAUGUUUGGCAUCAAUAUAUCUCAUUCUUGCCAUGAAGCUGAGCUUUGCAUUUUAUUUUGAGGGUGAAUGCUUGAAAUAUUGAAUAAUAGUGAAGGAAUUUAAUGAAAUGAAG
rnacentral:lncRNA from 1 species